rnacentral:Y_RNA from 1 species
GGAUGGUCUGAAGAUAGUGAGUUAUCUCCAUUGACAGCUCACAGUCAGUUACAGAUUGAACUCCUUGUUCUACUCUCUUCCUCCUUCUCACUACUGCACUUGACUGGUCUAAA